GGAACUUUGGGACAGAGGCAGUUGAGGACAGCUGAGCAAAAGAAGAAGAGGUGAAGAGAAAGGAUUUAUCUGAGGAGUGAGGAGCUGGCACUUUGGGGAACCUUGGAAGAUUCCCUUUGAAAGAACCUGCGGUAUCUGCCACAUAUAUGUGAUUCCUCAACAGCAGCCACAAGCUUGAGAUUGUGAAACCAAACCAACCUACCCACGCAGAUUGUCUUGAAGGACCAGUCUGAAGCUUUUCAUAUUGCUUGUGCCUUUCUCUGUCAUCCUGCACUGAUGCCCUUUUCAGAGCAGUUUCAGAAAGGAAGCCAAAUAAGAAAGCCUUAUUUUCAAUCAACUGUGCCUAUAAGAAAAUAAAAGAUUAAACACAAAAAAAGAUUAAAAUUUAUGCCUCCAGCUGG